UACGUAGGUGGCGAGCGUUGUCCGGAUUUACUGGGUGUAAAGGGAGCGUAGACGGUGAUGUAAGUCAGAUGUGAAAGCCCAGGGCUCAACCCUGGGACUGCAUUUGAAACUAUGUGACUGGAGUGCAGGAGAGGUAAGUGGAAUUCCUAGUGUAGCGGUGAAAUGCGUAGAUAUUAGGAGGAACACCAGUGGCGAAGGCGGCUUACUGGACUGUAACUGACGCUGAGGCGCGAAAGCGUGGGGAGCGAAC
rnacentral:rRNA from 1 species